GUCAGGAUGGCCGAUUGGUCUAAGGCGCCAGACUCAAGUUCCCUCGUUUGAGGGCGUGGGUUCAAAUCCCACUUCUGACA
rnacentral:tRNA from 1 species